rnacentral:pre_miRNA from 1 species
AUUUUUCGUGUACCCUCAAAGGCUUCCAGUAUUCAGUAAGCUAAGAUACUUGAAUGCUGGAGGCUUUUGAAGGAAUUUGAAACCU